rnacentral:rRNA from 1 species
AUUGAACGCUGGCGGCAUGCCUUACACAUGCAAGUCGAACGGCAGCACGGGAGCUUGCUCCUGGUGGCGAGUGGCGAACGGGUGAGUAAUACAUCGGAACGUACCCUGAAGUGGGGGAUAACGUAGCGAAAGUUACGCUAAUACCGCAUAUUCUGUGAGCAGGAAAGAGGGGGAUCGCAAGACCUCUUGCUUUAGGAGCGGCCGAUGUCGGAUUAGCUAGUUGGUGAGGUAAAGGCUCACCAAGGCGACGAUCCGUAGCGGGUCUGAGAGGAUGAUCCGCCACACUGGGACUGAGACACGGCCCAGACUCCUACGGGAGGCAGCAGUGGGGAAUUUUGGACAAUGGGCGCAAGCCUGAUCCAGCCAUGCCGCGUGAGUGAAGAAGGCCUUCGGGUUGGUUAAA